ensembl:scaRNA
GUGGCUUCAAUCAACAUUGGUUGCAUUUGUUAGUAAUGCAAUGCAUCCAUAGGUAGCCACGUACAUUAAUAAAAUGGUUCCUGCCGACAGCGUCUGUCGAGUUAUCAGAUUUCUGUGCGAUGGUUCCAUACAUU